ensembl:lncRNA
AAACAAAGGAGUCAGUACCUUGGAGUCAUUACCCACUUUCCUUAUAUCUCUAAUCAUACAUUAAUUAUGCUUAUUUUUCAUUCAUAGUUUUCUAUGACUCCUUAUUUCCCAUGAUACAUCCAUAUCAGACCUAUUACUCCUUUGGAUCUAUUUGUUUGCAGGAUCAAUUCUCAUUAGGACUUUAGGUUACUAGUUGUGGGAGAGGGGCAGGAGAGCUUGGGAGAGGCAAUUAUUCACUAGACACGAAAACCUCUCCCCUCACCUUUUUGUCCUUAUCUCUUCCUCUUGGGUACUUUCUUGGUUUCCACUUUGUCCUCCUGUUUUCCUCUCCAACGAUGAGAUCAGGGUUGGUAAUAGAGGUCAAGUGUCUGUCUUACCUUAGGCAGCUGCCCCUUAUCCCUCUUCCCGUUCUAAUGAUCAGCAAAGAAAGAAAUGAGCAGAUGAGGGAUCAGAAGAAGAGAAACAAGGACACCGAAAGGUGUCUGGAAGGCCUUCAGGGCAGGGGUCUGGAGGCAGAGACUUGAGAUUCAACGCCAAGAAGGAUGAGAUGCUUGACUGGGCCAGUCAUUCACCUUUCUGGGCCUCAGUUAUAACAGCUGUAAAAUCAGAGGAACAGACUGGAUGUGCUCGAAGCCUGGCUCUGGGGUUCUACGAGUUUAUGAAUUAGGAAAUGGCAGUUUACAAUUUGAAAAUGCUGCAGGAUGUUUGCAAAGUUAAUUUACUCAAAACAAAACAACAAAUAACACCACAACAAAACCCUUCCUGUGAUCUAUGUAUUUAUACCCCAUCACUGAUGCCAUUGUGUAUGAAUAACUUAUUAGAACCAAUCAAAAAAAGAAAAAGCACCAAAGGGCAAAAUGAUGAAGUCGGCAAUGAUGCCACCAGGCUCAUUCUGGUAGGAAGAAGAAUUCCAUCUAGUCAUUUGUUCCAGCCAUCAUUCAUUCAGUGGACAUCUUUGGAGGACCUGCUGUGUGCUGGCAUGAUGCAUACACAGAGCUGGCUAGAGCAGUGUCUCAGUCCUACAACUGCAAGAACAAAAUGUUGUCAACAGCAUGAAUUUGGAAGCAGAUUCCUCCCCAGAGCCUCCAAAGAAGAACGUGGCUCCACCAACACCCUGAUUUGGCCUUAUGGAACCUGGAGCAGAGAAACCAAUUGAGCCAAGAUCUGCCCAGACUUCUGACCCAUGGAUGUGGCAAGAUAAUAAAUGAGUGUUGUAGUAAGACUUUAUUUGUGGAAACUUGUUUUUAUAGUAAUAGAAGAUCAAAAUGCUAUAUUAAUAUGUUCAAGUUCAGGCUAAGAAAAUAGUCUCAGGAAAAAACCAAACAAACCACAGUUGUACAUGAGCACACCUCCCCUUCCUCCAAACAGAAUUCAAGAGACAAGGACAGUGGAACACCAGAUAGGUCAUUCAAGCACCAACUGUUAGCUGUAAGAUAUAAUGAAAAGCAAACAUCUGGUUCUUUGCAUAAUUUUGAUCAAAGGAGCAUAACAUGUGUUGUACACAUUUGGAGGAAAACCAAUUGCAUUAGGAUUUUCAUCAGGGAACAACUGUACAGGUGUCAAACAGGGGUCCGGGACACCGAGCCACUACUCCACGCUUCAUGUUUUUGUGAUCGAGGAAAGAAUUGCACAUCUAACUGGGGUGAGGGGGUGAGCAGUCAUCAAGUGCCCAAUAAAAGGUCCAGGCUUCCUCAGUAGGGUGUAAAAUGUGAUGGAAUGAAAAGAAAGACGAAAGAGAGGAGAGCUUUAUAUGUGGCCUCUUUAUAUGCUCAUUGCUCACCUGCAGUUGACACACAUCUGCUGGCUGCUGCUCAGGCCAGUAUUCCUGCAGUGCUCUUAUCAUGUGUUAGUUUUAUUUAUACUUUAUUUAUUUUUUGAGAUGGAGUCUUUCACUGUUGCUGUUGCUCAGGCUGGAGUGCAGUGGUGCGAUCUCAGCUCACUACAGCCUCUGCCUCCUGAGUUCAAGCAAUUCUCCUGCCUCAGCUUACGAAGUAGCUGGGAUUACAGGUGUGUGCCACCAUGCCCAGCUAAUUUUUGUAUUUCUAGUAAAGACCAUCUUGGCCAUAGUGGUCUUGAACUUGUAAUCUCAUGUGGUUUGCCUGCCUUGGCCUCCCAAAGUGCUGGCAUCACAGGUGUGAGCCACUGUGCCCGGGCUAUUUAUACUUUAUAAGAGCUCCUUUCAGAAGCUAGGGAACUUGAGUAUAACAUCCAUAUAGCUUUAUAAUGGAAUUAUGCUGUUUCUGCUGACUUAGUAUCUUUUCUUCUGUUAAUAACUGUUUGGCAGAGGAGUCAUUCCUGCAUCUCCCCUCAUAGUUUUGUUCCCCUGACUGUUUGGCAGAGGAGUCAUUCCCCCAUCUCCCCUCAUAGUUUUUGUUUGAAUCAGUCAUGACCCCUCCUUGUGGAUCUGUGGUUGGGCAUACAUGAUCCGGGGCUGGCUCAUCCAUUUGUAUUUUUUUCUCUUGCCAUAGGAAUUUGUUUGCAGAUGUGGCAAAACAAAAACAAACACAAAACAGUUCAAAGAACACCAGGACUUUUUCUGGGACUGUUGCAAUGGCAUACCCUCUUUCCAAUGGCAUUGCUUAACUGGUAGGAUGUACGCUCAGAUCACUGGUAAUCCUCUUGCCAUUUAUGUGACAAGGGCCUCUCUGGAAGUGAAGUCAGCACAGACAAAGCGGAACUGAGAAAAUGAGAUGAAACAGCUACUUGACACCAUUGUCUGAGCAUCUAGAUUCAGCUGAGUCUCUGCAUUUUACCCUGGACUUUUUCAGUGCCUUGGUUUAAACUGACUUGAAAUGGGUUUUUCUCCCUAGACAUAGAAAGAAUCCUGACAAACCUACUUCAGUUAGCAUGUCAAUGCUGAUGACUCGCAAGUCUGUAAUCAUCUGUAAUAAUCCAUUUGCAGUUACCUUUAGAGUAUUGACGCUGGAGGCAACUUCUGACACAAGACUUGAAUGUGUUUAAAGUUUAGCUGAGUUGGGUGCCAUGGCUCACACCUAUAAUCCCAGCACUCUGAGAAGCUGAGGUGGGUGGAUCACCUGAGGUCAGGAGUUUGAGACCAGCAUGGCCAACAUGGUGAAACCCCAUCUCUACUAAAACAUACAAAAAUUAGCCGGGCAUGUUGGCAGGUGCCUGUAAUCCCAGCUACUUGGGAAGCUGAGGCAGGAGAAUCACUUGAACCUGGGAGGCAGAGGUUGCAGCGAGCUGAGAUUGUGCCAUUGCACUCCAGCCCGGGCAACAGAGUGAGACUCUGUC